UACGUAGGGUGCAAGCGUUGUCCGGAAUCAUUGGGCGUAAAGAGCUCGUAGGCGGUCUGUCGCGUCUGCUGUGAAAACCUGGGGCUUAACCCUGGGCUUGCAGUGGGUACGGGCAGACUAGAGUGCGGUAGGGGAGACUGGAAUUCCUGGUGUAGCGGUGAAAUGCGCAGAUAUCAGGAGGAACACCGGUGGCGAAGGCGCCGCUCUGGGCCGAAACUGACGCUGAGGAGCGAAAGCAUGGGUAGCAAACAGG
rnacentral:rRNA from 1 species